CAAGUGCUUGUAACCCAGAGGGCACGGCAAGCACGGCGACCUGCCGCGGUGACGCGCUGAUGUCGCGUCAGCAGCGACACACGGCAGACACCUCCGCACAGGUGCGUCCCCAGGUGAUCGGACGAGGUCAUUACGGGGUUCAUCGCCUUGAAACUCACGGCCACAGGCAGCUGCUGAAAUGAUCACUUUGACAACUGGCCAGAGCGAGCACCGGGCGUCCGCCCACGGGCUGCCGAGCCCACCCCAGCCUCAGGGGCGCCCGUGGGCUCGACCCAGAACUCCAAGGAGCCGCCAGGGCCCUGGGUCGCAGCCAAGCGAGGCGCCACAGGCUGCAAACCGCCCUGCCGCUCCCAGGAGACUCGGCGACCGCCUGCCCUUACAGCUGUCUGAACACGCUGCCACGGUGCAGGGAGCGGCCCCACUCGCGACCCAGAGACACGGCUGUUCAGCGUGGUCACCACUGCACGCCAGCGCCCAGCCCGAUGGGGUCGGAUGACCGUGGAGCAGUUCCAGACUGCGGGUCACACUGGGCCGGUCUGUCUGGAGGAGAGGAAAGAGCAGGACGGCGCACAGCGGGGCCAUCUGACGGGACACGGACACGGCUAGUCAGAGUCAGGUUUCUCUUGCUACUGUUCUGUGUGACAGUGGCACACCCAGCACAUCGCCGUCAACAACAAAGCAUGGAACCCAGAAGCAGACAACACUGACUGUCCUGUUUGCCGGUAAGACCGGCACGGUGCACUGACCCUGAGCAGGGGCGUGAGCUGCUGCACACACGCACCACACGUGGGACCCGCCUCUGCCCGGCCAGGACUGCAAGACCGCCCUCCCCCUCAGCCUGCUCAGCAGGGAGACUAGGACGAAAGCCUGUGUGAGGAUCCACUUCCACUAAACGAGCUGUAGAUAUACGUUCCCUUCCA